CCUACGGGAGGCAGCAGUGAGGAAUAGUGGUCAAUGGGCGCGAGCCUGAACCAGCCAAGUAGCGUGAAGGAUGACUGCCCUACGGGUUGUAAACUUCUUUUAUAAAGGAAUAAAGUGAGGCACGUGUGCCUUUUUGUAUGUACUUUAUGAAUAAGGAUCGGAUAACUCCGUGCCAGCAGCCGCGGUAAUACGGAGGAGACGAGCGUUAUCCGGAUUUAUUGGGUUUAAAGGGAGCGUAGAUGGGUUGUUAAGUCAGUUGUGAAAGUUUGCGGCUCAACCGUAAAAUUGCAAUUGAUACUGGCAGCCUUGAUUACAGUUGAGGUAGUCGGCAUUCGUUGUGUAGCGGUGAAAUGCUUCGAUCUCACGAAGAACUCCGAUUGCGUAGGCAGCUUACUAAACUGCCACUGACAUUGAUGCUCG
rnacentral:rRNA from 1 species